AUUGAACGCUGGCGGCAGGCCUAAGACAUGCAAGUCGAGCGGGGUUUUCGGACCUAGCGGCGGACGGGUGAGUAAUGCGUAGGAAGCUACCCGGUAGAGGGGGAUACCAGUUGGAAACGACUGUUAAUACCGCAUAAUGUCUACGGACCAAAGUGUGGGACCUUCGGGCCACAUGCUAUCGGAUGCGCCUACGUGGGAUUAGCUAGUUGGUGAGGUAAUGGCUCACCAAGGCGACGAUCCCUAGCUGGUUUGAGAGGAUGAUCAGCCACACUGGAACUGAGACACGGUCCAGACUCCUACGGGAGGCAGCAGUGGGGAAUAUUGGACAAUGGGCGCAAGCCUGAUCCAGCCAUGCCGCGUGUGUGAAGAAGGCCUUCGGGUUGUAAAGCACUUUCAGUAGGGAGGAAGCGUUGUGUGUUAAUAGUACACAGCGUUGACGUUACCUACAGAAGAAGCACCGGCUAACUCUGUGCCAGCCGCCGCGGUAACAC
rnacentral:rRNA from 1 species